rnacentral:rRNA from 1 species
CCCUUAGAUGUCCUGGGCUGCACGCGCGCUACACUGAUGUGUCCAGUAAGCACCUAACCUCUUCCGAAAGGAACGGGUAACCUUUGCAAAGCACAUCGUGAUGGGGAUAGAUUAUUGCAAUUACUAGUCUUGAACGAGGAAUUCCUAGUAAGCACAAGUCAUCAGCUUGUGUUGAUUACGUCCCUGCCCUUUGUACACACCGCCCGUCGCUCCUACCGAUUGAAUGUUCCGGUGAGCUCUUCGGACUGCGCGGUCUGCAGUUUCUGCGUUCCGUGCGGAAAGUUGCGCAAACCUUAACAUUUAGAGGAAGGAGAAGUCGUAACA